UACGUAGGGUGCGAGCGUUGUCCGGAAUUACUGGGCGUAAAGAGCUCGUAGGUGGUUUGUCGCGUUGUUCGUGAAAACCGGGGGCUUAACCCUCGGCGUGCGGGCGAUACGGGCAGACUUGAGUACUGCAGGGGAGACUGGAAUUCCUGGUGUAGCGGUGGAAUGCGCAGAUAUCAGGAGGAAUACCGGUGGCGAAGGCGGCAUCCUGGACCAUUACUGACGCUGAGGCGCGAAAGCUAGGGGAGCAAACGGG
rnacentral:rRNA from 1 species